GGAUAUUGAACCCACAAAGAAGCUGCUUAACCCACUACAUGAUUGAAGUCUUGAUGUGCACAGAGCAAUGGAUGAAAUGUGAGAUUCAUGUCAAUGAAAAAGGAGUGAUAACAAUCCAACAAUUGCUUGCGGAUGUGGAGUUGCAAGAUGAGCUCAUGCGAGAGUUUGAUCCUGAGUUCAACUUGCAAGGACUGUAGAGUACUAGAAGUAUGAAAUGAAUUCAACUCGCAAGGAGCCAAGCCAAGGAGGCAAGGACGGUUACGGUUUCAAGUAGCAUUCAAGUUUCAAGUUUGAUCUUUGUCUCUUU